rnacentral:lncRNA from 1 species
AGCAUCUUGGUAUUCUGGAACCCCAGUCCUCCAGCAUCUCAGUAUCCUGGCACCUCAGUCCUCCAGCUUCCCAGCAGCCCAGAAUUCCAGCACCCCAGUCCCCCAGCAUCUCAAUAUCCUGACACCUCAGUCCUCCAGCAUCCCAGCAACCCAGUCCUCCAGCAUCCCAAUAUCCCGGCACCCCAGUCCUCCACCAUCUCUGUAUCCCGGCACCCCAGCCCCCCCAGUCCUCCACCAUCUCGAUAUAUCCCGACACCCCAGUCCUCCAGCAUCCCGUUAUCCCAAUAUCCCAGUCCUCCAGCACCCCUCUACCCCCUCCCCCCCCCUCCUUCCCAUCUCCCCCUCACAUGGCGGCUCCGUUCCCCUCCGCUGCGCUUCAGCUCCUCCGCUCACACGCGCUUCUCCCCUCUCACUUCCGCUUCCGGGUCACUCUAACGCUCCAGGGUAACCACUUCCGGCUCAGAGCGCGGGAAGACAGGGAGGGCGACCUGCGCAUGCGCGGGAGUGAGAUGAGGGGCGUGGCCUAAGGGGGAAAAGGGGCGUGGCCUGGGGGAGGCCACGGAGGCAGACUGGGAGGGA